GUGGAUAUAGCUCAGUUGGUUAGAGCGCAGCGUCGACAUCGCUGAGGUCACUGGUUCGAGUCCAGUAUCGCCCACCA
rnacentral:tRNA from 1 species